UACCGUUGAAGAUUAUAGUCCCACAAUUGCGUUGUGUUUUCUGCGUGAAAAUAAAAACAACAACAUUGCUUUAUUUUCUACGGAGCGCUGUUUGAAGAGAGGGUCAGCGCGCACCAAGGAGAUAUUUAUACUUGUUUUGAUUUAUGCAGCGUCAUUUCGCGUUUUUGCACUUGUGAAAACGUCCCACCUUCUACGUGCACCUCACAGUCAAAAUAGCGCCUUCGUCUUCAAGUGAGCGCUCGUCACCCUCCAGCUUUCCCGACGACUCGCCGAGGGAGCUUCUGACGAAUUUCACUAGCAAAUGGCUGUAUAAGCCUGCGGUGGCCGCUCGAAUAAUGAAAUGGCCGUCACAGGAGGUACGGAAGGUUCACAAAUCAAAACUAAAUUCGAAACGCGCGCCGAACCGGACUAUUUCGCGGAGCAGUACAUGUGCAGUAGCUCCGCCCCCGUAGCCUUCCCUUGUCCUUGGGGGCGCUUUAGUUGUUUGACGGGUGCGCGCGGUUUGUGUGUGUGUGCCAUGAUGUGUUCUACAAUGCUUCGUUACCACGUUUAUCGAUUAUGCACGUUGGUUACGUGAUUCAAUAUCAAGUGUACCUUCCAAGACGAUCUAUGUCCUAGUCUCGUGACUGACGGCGAGUGCGGACGUACAGCAGCCUUUUGACAAGACUGUCGCCGAGUGGAGUGUACGGUACAUUGUGGACUGUAAAGCUGAAGAGUGCACAGUGGAUGCCUGAUUUUGGAACCGAGUGUGAUCGUCUGGGCAGUGUGUUCACUCUGCGGGGAUGAUGGCCAGAGGAAGGAUGAUAGACAGACGACAGCUUGCAGAAGAAGAUGGGAGCGUUCUACCUGUGAGCCUGGUCGAGUUUAUAUUUUAUGGAUACACAUGCAUGGAUACACCAUACAUGGAUUCCCUACAAGGACCCUGCGCAUCAAAAGCAAUCUGUCAUCAAUGUUAAGUAGACAGAUUAAAUGAAACGAAGAUAUGACAGGUGUACACCAUAUUUUUCUUUCAUUUAACCUCUGCAUGUUUCCCAGUCAAUAAAUGUUUUUAUCCAUUUUC